GAUGAACGCUAGCGACAGGCCUAACACAUGCAAGUCGAGGGGUAUGGCAGCAAUGCCAGAGACCGGCGCACGGGUGAGUAACGCGUAUGCAACCUACCUGUUACAGGGGGAUAGCUUCCGGAAACGGAAAUUAAGACCGCAUAACACAUCGGUACCGCAUGGUAUUGAUGUUAAAUAUUUAUAGGUAACAGAUGGGCACGCGUGGCAUUAGGUAGUUGGCGGGGUAACGGCCAAACAAGCCUGCGAUGCCUAGGGGUUCUGAGAGGAAGGCCCCCCACACUGGUACUGAGACACGGACCAGACUCCUACGGGAGGCAGCAGUGAGGAAUAUUGGUCAAUGGGCGGAAGCCUGAACCAGCCAUGUCGCGUGCAGGACGACGGCCCUACGGGUUGUAAACUGCUUUUGUACGGGAAGAAAAAACGCCACGUGUGGCGUCUUGCCGGUACCGUACGAAUAAGGAUCGGCUAACUCCGUGCCAGCCGCCGCGGUAAUAC
rnacentral:rRNA from 1 species